rnacentral:rRNA from 1 species
UACGGAGGGCGCAAGCGUUGUUCGGAAUCACUGGGCGUAAAGCGCGUGUAGGCGGCCGGGCAAGUCGGAUGUGAAAUCCCGAGGCUCAACCUCGGAACUGCAUUCGAAACUGCCCGGCUCGAGUCCCGGAGAGGAUGGCGGAAUUCCCGGUGUAGGGGUGAAAUCCGUAGAUAUCGGGAGGAACACCAGUGGCGAAGGCUGCCAUCUGGACGGUGACUGACGCUGAGACGCGAAAGCGUGGGGAGCAAACAGG